UAAAACUGUAGGGAGCUCGACGUGCUGCUUUUGCGGACGAUGUGUAUAAGGUAGGAUUGGAAACUUGGUAGCGGUAGGGGGUGGAAGUUCAUCGUUUCCACAUGGUUCGCCAUUGCAGCAGAAUGCUUGGUGACUGUAGGCGGUAGUUGGUUGGUUAACCAUCAUCCAUCUCAAUUCAACUAAUGUUAGGUUUAGCUGGCAGUCUGCCAUCCAUGGAUCUUUAGAUUUUUAGUCGAUGCAUCAGGGGAUGUGGACCGGUGUCGGUUCUGCAACCAUUCGAUGGAUUAGGGACAGUCGAUCCUGUUGGGGUCUUGUCAUUGUCUUGUUGAACAUCUCCUGUUUCAUUCUCAGGUGUGUGAGAGUAGCAUUUCAAGGAUCUUUAUCUCUUGUUAGCUGGGCAUGUACUAUGUGAGAGUUAUGCAGAAGCAAAGACUGUUUGGGAGCCGGUAUGAUGGGUGGCAUCGCUGGCGACUUGGCUGUUAGGCUCAUCAGCUUAGUUAGAUUGUGUUGGUGUUCUUGUUUUCGGAAUUGUGGUGAACGUGAACGGCCAGCUUGCUUGCCUUUGUGGUGAUUUGGAAGAAUUUUUGAAUUCCCAUGAAAAAAAAAGGUUCGAGUUGUUCUUCCUAUGUACUCAGAGAAAUAGAACUAUAUUCUGAGAAUGGCAGUCCAAUCUUUUUUAGUUCAACAGGGUACUUGGAAUGGGCUGAGAGGUUCAGUCUCAUUUAGACUAUAUUCUGAGAAUCUGCUGUAAAUGGUAGUGAAUCUGCCUUUUUUUCUCCCAAAACAUUGACGU
rnacentral:lncRNA from 1 species